rnacentral:rRNA from 1 species
GAUGAACGCUAGCGGGAGGCUUAACACAUGCAAGUCGAGGGGUAUUUGUAGCAAUACAGAGAGACCGGCGCACGGGUGAGUAACGCGUAUGCAACCUGCCCUUUACUGGAGGAUAGCCCGUAGAAAUGCGGAUUAAUACCCCAUAGUAAUGUUGGAUCGCAUGAUUUGACAUUUAAAGUUUCGGCGGUAAAGGAUGGGCAUGCGUGACAUUAGCUUGUUGGUGAGGUAACGGCUCACCAAGGCUGCGAUGUCUAGGGGUUCUGAGAGGAAGAUCCCCCACACUGGUACUGAGGCACGGACCAGACUCCUACGGGAGGCAGCAGUGAGGAAUAUUGGUCAAUGGGCGAGAGCCUGAACCAGCCAUCCCGCGUGCAGGAAGAAUGCCCUAUGGGUUGUAAACUGCUUUUUCGCAUGAAGAACACCCCUGACGCGUUCGGGGGCUGACGGUAAUGCGUGAAUAAGCACCGGCUAACUCCGUGCCAGCAGCCGCGGUAAUACGGAGGGCGCAAGCGUUAUCCGGAUUUAUUGGGUUUAAAGGGUGCGUAGGCGGCGCUUUAAGUCAGUGGUGAAAUCCUGCAGCUCAACUGUAGAACAGCCAUUGAAACUGAAGUGCUUGAGUAAUCUUGAGGUAGGCGGAAUGUGUAGUGUAGCGGUGAAAUGCUUAGAUAUUACACAGAACACCGAUUGCGAAGGCAGCUUACUAAGGAUUCACUGACGCUGAUGCACGAAAGCGUGGGGAUCAAACAGGAUUAGAUACCCUGGUAGUCCACGCCGUAAACGAUGAUAACUCGCUGUUGGCGAUACACAGUCAGCGGCUUAGCGAAAGCGUUAAGUUAUCCACCUGGGGAGUACGCUCGCAAGAGUGAAACUCAAAGGAAUUGACGGGGGCCCGCACAAGCGGAGGAACAUGUGGUUUAAUUCGAUGAUACGCGAGGAACCUUACCUGGGCUUAAAUGUGCUAUGACCGCUGGAGAAAUUCGGCUUCCCGCAAGGGCAGAGUACAAGGUGCUGCAUGGUUGUCGUCAGCUCGUGCCGUGAGGUGUCGGGUUAAGUCCCAUAACGAGCGCAACCCUUAUUGUCAGUUGCUAACAGGUGAUGCUGAGGACUCUGGCGAGACUGCCACCGUAAGGUGUGAGGAAGGUGGGGAUGACGUCAAAUCAUCAUGCCCCUUAUGUCUUGGGCUUCACGCAUGCUACAAUGGCCGGUACAAAGGGCUGCAAUACCGUAAGGUGGAGCGAAUCCCAAAAAGCCGGUCCCAGUUCGGAUUGAGGUCUGCAACUCGACCUCAUGAAGUCGGAGUCGCUAGUAAUCGCAGAUCAGCAACGCUGCGGUGAAUACGUUCCCGGGUCUUGUACACACCGCCCGUCAAGUCAUGAAAGUCGGUAACACCUGAAGCCGGUGGCCCAACCCUUGUGGAGGGAGCCGUCGAAGGUGGGAUC